AAAAAUCAACAAUUCAGUAUCAUGGAUUUUAAUUUCGCAUUGGAGCACUGGUUGUAAAUAUGUGUGUAUAUGUAAAAACUUGAGCAUUAAAACAAGGCUGUUAAGGGUCAUUUUACUUAAACGCUAAAGUGUUUCGACUCAAAUACUAUAAACGUUAGUGAGAAGUGAA